GAAAGCCGUAUGCGGGAAAUCUGCACGUACGGUUUGACGAGGGGUCGGAGGGUGAAAGCCCUCCUCCUACUCUAC
rfam:Oceanobacillus picturae, S1, WGS project CCAX01000000 data, contig: 000001